rnacentral:rRNA from 1 species
GAUGAACGCUGGCGGCGUGCCUAAUACAUGCAAGUCGAGCGAACGGACGAGAAGCUUGCUUCUCUGAUGUUAGCGGCGGACGGGUGAGUAACACGUGGAUAACCUACCUAUAAGACUGGGAUAACUUCGGGAAACCGGAUCUAAUACCGGAUAAUAUUUUGAACCGCAUGGUUCAAAAGUGAAAGACGGUCUUGCUGUCACUUAUAGAUGGAUCCGCGCUGCAUUAGCUAGUUGGUAAGGUAACGGCUUACCAAGGCAACGAUGAAUAGCCGACCUGAGAGGGUGAUCGGCCACACUGGAACUGAGACACGGUCCAGACUCCUACGGGAGGCAGCAGUAGGGAAUCUUCCGCAAUGGGCGAAAGCCUGACGGAGCAACGCCGCGUGAGUGAUGAAGGUCUUCGGAUCGUAAAACUCUGUUAUUAGGGAAGAACAUAUGUGUAAGUAACUGUGCACAUCUUGACGGUACCUAAUCAGAAAGCCACGGCUAACUACGUG